AAAAUCCGUCGACUUUAGAAAUCGUGAGGGUUCAAGUCCCUCUAUCCCCAAAAAGUCCAUUUCAUUCCCUAAUUAUUUAUCCUAUCCUC
rnacentral:tRNA from 1 species